rnacentral:tRNA from 1 species
GCCUGGGUGGCUCAGUCAGUUAAGCAUCUGACUUCAGCUCAGGUCGUGAUCUCACGGUUCUCGUGGGUUCGAGCCCUGCAUCGGGUU